UACAGAGGUCUCAAGCGUUGUUCGGAUUCAUUGGGCGUAAAGGGUGUGUAGGUGGCGCGCUAAGUCGGGUGUGAAAUUUCGGAGCUUAACUCCGAAACUGCAUUCGAUACUGUCGUGCUUGAGGACUGGAGAGGAGACUGGAAUUUACGGUGUAGCGGUGAAAUGCGUAGAUAUCGUAAGGAAGACCAGUGGCGAAGGCGGGUCUCUGGACAGUUCCUGACGCUGAGGCACGAAGGUCAGGGGAGCAAACGGG
rnacentral:rRNA from 1 species